AAAGUUGACAUUGUACAACAACAGUGAACAAGAUAAAACACCGACAGAAAACUGGGCAAGGUCUGCAGAAUGGACUUGUGGUGAGGGUAUUCCCAGUAACCUAUUAGAAGCAAGACACAGUGGAAGAAACACAGCUACAUUCAUCCUGACAGAUAAACCUCAAAGUUCAUAUUAAAUAAAUAGCACAUAAAAUUGCUUGUCAAAUUUC